UACGUAGGGACCGAGCGUUGUCCGGAAUCAUUGGCGUAAAGAGCGUGUAGGCGGCCACUUAAGUCCUGCGUGAAAUCUUGCGGCUCAACCGCAAGCGGUCGUGGGAAACUGGGUGGCUAGAGUGCGGGAGAGGAGAGUGGAAUUCCGUGGUGUAGCGGUGGAAUGCGCCAGAGUAUCAGGAGGAACACCGGUGGCGAAGGCGGGUCUCUGGGCCGGUACCGACGCUGAGGAGCGAAAGCGUGGGGAGCGAACAGG
rnacentral:rRNA from 1 species